UUGGGCAGGAUGAGAAUCUUCGGGGAAGAGCAGGAGCUGACUAUCCCUGCUCAGCACCCACUAAGAUCUGAAAAGAUCUAAUCAGUUGGCCCAGAAGAGGGCCAACAGAUGAAAGGACCUUAGGUGACUGGACCAGGGCUGUUGUGAGGAUGAAACGGAGAUGUAUGUUCCCUUAAGCUUACUAGCAGAAAGAAUGGGCUUUUCCAAGCAGGAGAAGAAGAUGCCAGGAUGAAAAGAAGUCAAUGAAAUGAAUCAUCCCAUCCUGAAGUUAACAAGGCCUGACUGGCUUCUCCCCUCAACUCUCUUUGCUUAGCUCUUCUUCAGCUUUCUGAGACAUGUUGUCUCUUUUUGUCCUUGGAACAAUAAGCCUUUGAUUCUCUUUCUCUUUUCUGUUGUCUCCAUUCACACAUAAAGCCUGGUAGGGGGUUAACAUCUGUGUCACAUUCAUUUCAUGGAGUAAUAGGCCAAACAGUGGUGUACAAAGACAGGGACAAGCUACGUAGAAGGCUCCCGUGCUUCUCUAAAAGAAGCUUUCCACUUUAACAGCAAUCCCCUUCUGAUCCACUCCAAGAAUAUAUCCUCUUCUGAUUCACCCCAAAAAUUUAUUAUGUCUUCUCAAUCCUACUAUUCCUGAGAUUACAUAAUGUUCAUUACUUUCAUAGAAGUCCUCUAAAGGAAGUCUGAGUAAAAUGACACCCUGCAAUCACAAGUUGUCCCCAUGGUUGACUUUGUAGUCCUUAGGUUCCCCACACAAAUUGCCUUCAUUAUGGAUCUCAUCAUAUUGAGGUCCAGAAGCCGGUGACACCAGGGAAACUGUGGGGAGGUGUAAUGCUUUGUGCCCUUACUGUCGGUGGUCGUGGGAUCCCUUCCCACUACUUUCCCCACUGUCCCCAGCUACUUCCUGAAUCCUUCCUGGCUUCUUCUAUGAGGAGUAAGGAGUCUAGGCUCCUUUUCUCUCUGCUGCCAGCAUGCUGCUGGCACAAACCCCAAUGGAGCCCUGCUGGAAGUAGCCCUGCAUCAUUUGAUGGGCUCUGGUGGACACCGUGCCCACAGCGUGCCAGCAGCACCAAGAAGCAUGGAGCUUCUGGACUUUCAUGUGAUGAGGUCUUUAGUGACACAUCUUGUAGGGAAUUCCUUUGAGAUGCCAAGGUCUUUGAAUCACACUUUGUUUUGGUCAUUCCCAGUUUUCAAGAACUGGAAAACACUUUUUCUUAUGAGAGGGCAUUUUUAGCACCCUUGGGGAAACCCAGGAAUCACAAAUAUGACCGCCCCCCUCCCACCCCAUUGAAGUUUCUAAUACUAGCUGAGAUGGUACAUUAUUCUCUGCAUGCACAGUUGGGCAUUAAUUGCCCUGCACAACCCAUCUGCGGAAUGGCAAUGUUGCACAACUGAAAACAAACAUUCACGAACAGAAAAGGCCAUUUCCCUAGAAAUUUUUCUUCAUGAAAAUUCAGCCCUGAAUUGUGAAGAUUCUAAUUGAAUAAAAUUGUAUUUCUCAAGAUUUCCUAGUACUGAAUAAACCAUCCCUUGUGCAGACUGUA